rnacentral:rRNA from 1 species
UGGCGUAAUGAUGGCCAGGCUGUCUCCACCCGAGACUCAGUGAAAUUGAACUCGCUGUGAAGAUGCAGUGUACCCGCGGCAAGACGGAAAGACCCCGUGAACCUUUACUAUAGCUUGACACUGAACAUUGAGCCUUGAUGUGUAGGAUAGGUGGGAGGCUUUGAAGUGUGGACGCCAGUCUGCAUGGAGCCGACCUUGAAAUACCACCCUUUAAUGUUUGAUGUUCUAACGUUGACCCGUAAUCCGGGUUGCGGACAGUGUCUGGUGGGUAGUUUGACUGGGGCGGUCUCCUCCUAAAGAGUAACGGAGGAGCACGAAGGUUGGCUAAUCCUGGUCGGACAUCAGGAGGUUAGUGCAAUGGCAUAAGCCAGCUUGACUGCGAGCGUGACGGCGCGAGCAGGUGCGAAAGCAGGUCAUAGUGAUCCGGUGGUUCUGAAUGGAAGGGCCAUCGCUCAACGGAUAAAAGGUACUCCGGGGAUAACAGGCUGAUACCGCCCAAGAGUUCAUAUCGACGGCGGUGUUUGGCACCUCGAUGUCGGCUCAUCACAUCCUGGGGCUGAAGUAGGUCCCAAGGGUAUGGCUGUUCGCCAUUUAAAGUGGUACGCGAGCUGGGUUUAGAACGUCGUGAGACAGUUCGGUCCCUAUCUGCCGUGGGCGCUGGAGAACUGAGGGGGGCUGCUCCUAGUACGAGAGGACCGGAGUGGACGCAUCACUGGUGUUCGGGUUGUCAUGCCAAUGGCACUGCCCGGUAGCUAAAUGCGGAAGAGAUAAGUGCUGAAAGCAUCUAAGCACGAAACUUGCCCCGAGAUGAGUUCUCCCUGACUCCUUGAGAGUCCUGAAGGAACGUUGAAGACGACGACGUUGAUAGGCCGGGUGUGUAAGCGCAGCGAUGCGUUGAGCUAACCGGUACUAAUGAACCGUGAGG